AGUGAACGCUGGCGGCGUGCUUAACACAUGCAAGUCGAACGAGAACGGAUUAUAGCUUGCUAUAAUUGUCAGCUAAGUGGCGCACGGGUGAGUAAUGUAUAGAUAACCUGCCCUCUAGAGAGGAAUAACAGUUGGAAACGACUGCUAAUGCCCUAUAUGCCUUUAAUACAUAAGUAUGCAAGGGAAACGCUUUAGUGCUAGAGGAUGGGUCUGUAUGGUAUCAGUUAGUUGGGGAGGUAAUGGCUCACCAAGACAAUGACGCCUAACUGGUUUGAGAGGAUGAUCAGUCACACUGGAACUGAGACACGGUCCAGACUCCUACGGGAGGCAGCAGUGGGGAAUAUUGCACAAUGGACGAAAGUCUGAUGCAGCAACGCCGCGUGGAGGAUGACACAUUUCGGUGCGUAACUCCUUUUAUAUAGGAAGAUAAUGACGGUACUAUAUGAAUAAGCACCGGCUACUCCGUGCCAGCCGCCGCGGUAA
rnacentral:rRNA from 1 species